rnacentral:rRNA from 1 species
UGGGGAAUCUUGCACAAUGGGCGAAAGCCUGAUGCAGCAACGCCGCGUGAGCGAAGAAGGCCUUUGGGUCGUAAAGCUCUGUCCUAAGGGAAGAAGAAAGUGACGGUACCUUAGGAGGAAGCCCCGGCUAACUACGUGCCAGCAGCCGCGGUAAUACGUAGGGGGCAAGCGUUAUCCGGAAUUAUUGGGCGUAAAGAGUACGUAGGCGGUUCUUUAAGCGCAGGGUCUAAGGCUAUGGCUUAACUAUAGUUCGCCCUGUGAACUGGAGGACUUGAGUAUCGGAGAGGAAAGCGGAAUUCCUAGUGUAGCGGUGAAAUGCGUAGAUAUUAGGAGGAACACCAGUGGCGAAGGCGGCUUUCUGGACGAAAACUGACGCUGAGGUACGAAAGCGUGGGGAGCAAACAGGAUUAGAUACCC